AAGCGCCUGCAGGCGGCCGGGUUCCUCUACGGUGACCUCCGAGCUGGUGAACAUAGAUAUGAUGGUUGGAGCCCCAGCAGCCAUUUUGGACCAUGAGGAUGGAAACCAUGGAAUAAGGAUGGUGUGGCAGAAAGAUAAAAGGAGGCUGAGUCCCUGAUAACAUAAUGGAGCUGCUGCACCACUUCUUAACUGUCCGACUCCAGACUUCUUUGAUUUGAGAGACUAAAUUGCUGAUUUAUUUAAGCCACUGUUGUCAAUAAAAAGCAGUUAGGAAUACAGUUCCUAGAAGGCACAUUCAUAUUUUCAUUUCACACUAGAAAAAUGGAAUAAAAUGUGUUAUAAGUUGUUUGGGGGGGG
rnacentral:lncRNA from 10 species